GGUUGUGGAUGCAUCAAAUACACCUUGUUACUAAGCCACUAACCUUGCUGUACUGAACCUGUCAACUGGCUUUUCUGGAAACCCUGACUCUGGACUGGAUUUGUUACCUGGAACUCUUUGACACUGGAUUUUGUGAUUGGCUGGGAGUGCUCCUGAUCCCUUGCAAGAAUUCAACAGGAAGGAAGAAAUGCUAUACCUCAAGAAAUCAGAAGAAUCGAAGGAAAACAAGACACCAGCUGCUGCUCCUGCUGAUGCUAACCGCCUGAACAUGAAAAAACAAACAAACAUGACUUUUCAGGGAGUGUUUUUCCUAAAGUCUAAGAAUCCCAGAUCUGUGUUUACCAUUUCCUGAAAUCAUGGUAACAACCCACAA